GCGUCUUUAUCUCAGUGGACAGAGUGCUUGGUUUCGACCCAAGUUGUCGGGAGUUCGAAUCUCUCAAGGCGCA
rfam:Paenibacillus polymyxa SC2 plasmid pSC2, complete sequence.